GACGAACGCUGGCGGCGUGCUUAACACAUGCAAGUCGAACGGUGAAGCGCCUUCCUUUUUGGUGGGUGUGGAUGAGUGGCGAACGGGUGAGUAACACGUGAGUAACCUGCCCCCUUCUUCUGGAUAACCGCAUGAAAGUGUGGCUAAUACGGGAUAUUCUGGGUCUGUCGCAUGAUGGGUCUGGGAAAGAUAUUGUUUCGGUGGGGGAUGGGCUCGCGGCCUAUCAGCUUGUUGGUGGGGGAUGGCCUACCAAGGCGGUGACGGGUAGCCGGCCUGAGAGGGUGGACGGUCACACUGGGACUGAGACACGGCCCAGACUCCUACGGGAGGCAGCAGUGGGGAAUAUUGCACAAUGGGCGCAAGCCUGAUGCAGCGACGCCGCGUGAGGGAUGGAGGCCUUCGGGUUGUGAACCUCUUUCGCCAGUGAAGCAGGCCUGCCUCGUUUGUGGGUGGGUUGACGGUAGCUGGAUAAGAAGCGCCGGCUAACUACGUG
rnacentral:rRNA from 1 species